rnacentral:rRNA from 1 species
CUUACCUGGGUUUGACCAGGAUCGGGAGUGAUCAGAGAUGGGUGUGCCUCUUUUGGGGUCCGUUCACAGGUGGUGCAUGGCUGUCGUCAGCUCGUGUCGUGAGAUGUUGGGUUAAGUCCCGCAACGAGCGCAACCCUUGUUCACUGUUGCCACCACGUUAUGGUGGGGACUCAGUGGAGACCGCCGGGGUCAACUCGGAGGAAGGUGGGGAUGACGUCAAGUCAUCAUGCCCCUUAUGUCCAGGGCUUCACGCAUGCUACAAUGGCUGGUACAGAGAGUGGCGAGCCUGUGAGGGUGAGCGAAUCUCGGAAAGCCGGUCUCAGUUCGGAUUGGGGUCUGCAACUCGACCUCAUGAAGUUGGAGUCGCUAGUAAUCGCAGAUCAG